rnacentral:rRNA from 2 species
AAAUUGAAGAGUUUGAUCAUGGCUCAGAUUGAACGCUGGCGGCAGGCCUAACACAUGCAAGUCGAACGGUAACAGGAAGCAGCUUGCUGCUUUGCUGACGAGUGGCGGACGGGUGAGUAAUGUCUGGGAAACUGCCUGAUGGAGGGGAUAACUACUGGAAACGGUGGCUAAUACCGCAUAACGUCGCAAGACCAAAGAGGGGGACCUUCGGGCCUCUUGCCAUCAGAUGUGCCCAGAUGGGAUUAGCUAGUUGGUGAGGUAACGGCUCACCAAGGCGACGAUCCCUAGCUGGUCUGAGAGGAUGACCAGCCACACUGGAACUGAGACACGGUCCAGACUCCUACGGGAGGCAGCAGUGGGGAAUAUUGCACAAUGGGCGCAAGCCUGAUGCAGCCAUGCCGCGUGUAUGAAGAAGGCCUUCGGGUUGUAAAGUACUUUCAGCGGGGAGGAAGGUGUUGUGGUUAAUAACCGCAGCAAUUGACGUUACCCGCAGAAGAAGCACCGGCUAACUCCGUGCCAGCAGCCGCGGUAAUACGGAGGGUGCAAGCGUUAAUCGGAAUUACUGGGCGUAAAGCGCACGCAGGCGGUCUGUCAAGUCGGAUGUGAAAUCCCCGGGCUCAACCUGGGAACUGCAUUCGAAACUGGCAGGCUUGAGUCUUGUAGAGGGGGGUAGAAUUCCAGGUGUAGCGGUGAAAUGCGUAGAGAUCUGGAGGAAUACCGGUGGCGAAGGCGGCCCCCUGGACAAAGACUGACGCUCAGGUGCGAAAGCGUGGGGAGCAAACAGGAUUAGAUACCCUGGUAGUCCACGCCGUAAACGAUGUCUACUUGGAGGUUGUGCCCUUGAGGCGUGGCUUCCGGAGCUAACGCGUUAAGUAGACCGCCUGGGGAGUACGGCCGCAAGGUUAAAACUCAAAUGAAUUGACGGGGGCCCGCACAAGCGGUGGAGCAUGUGGUUUAAUUCGAUGCAACGCGAAGAACCUUACCUGGUCUUGACAUCCACAGAAGAAUCCAGAGAUGGAUUUGUGCCUUCGGGAACUGUGAGACAGGUGCUGCAUGGCUGUCGUCAGCUCGUGUUGUGAAAUGUUGGGUUAAGUCCCGCAACGAGCGCAACCCUUAUCCUUUGUUGCCAGCGGUCCGGCCGGGAACUCAAAGGAGACUGCCAGUGAUAAACUGGAGGAAGGUGGGGAUGACGUCAAGUCAUCAUGGCCCUUACGACCAGGGCUACACACGUGCUACAAUGGCGCAUACAAAGAGAAGCGACCUCGCGAGAGCAAGCGGACCUCAUAAAGUGCGUCGUAGUCCGGAUUGGAGUCUGCAACUCGACUCCAUGAAGUCGGAAUCGCUAGUAAUCGUGGAUCAGAAUGCCACGGUGAAUACGUUCCCGGGCCUUGUACACACCGCCCGUCACACCAUGGGAGUGGGUUGCAAAAGAAGUAGGUAGCUUAACCUUCGGGAGGGCGCUUACCACUUUGUGAUUCAUGACUGGGGUGAAGUCGUAACAAGGUAACCGUAGGGGAACCUGCGGUUGGAUCACCUCCUUACCUUAAAGAA